CCUACGGGGGGCAGCAGUGGGGAAUAUUGGACAAUGGGGGGAACCCUGAUCCAGCGACGCCGCGUGAGUGAAGAAGUAUUUCGGUAUGUAAAGCUCUAUCAGCAGGGAAGAAAGAAAUGACGGUACCUGACUAAGAAGCCCCGGCUAACUACGUGCCAGCAGCCGCGGUAAUACGUAGGAGGCAAGCGUUAUCCGGAUGUACGGGGUGUAAAGGGAGCGUAGACGGCGAUGCAAGUCUGAAGUGAAAGGCGGGGGCCCAACCCCCGGACUGCUUUGGAAACUGUAUGGCUGGAGUGCAGUAGAGGGAAGCGGAAUUCCUGGUGUAGCGGUGAAAUGCGUAGAGAUCAGGAGGAACACCAGUGGCGAAGGCGGCUUACUGGACUGUAACUGACGUUGAGGCUCGAAAGCGUGGGGAGCAAACAGGAUUAGAUACCCUAGUAGUC
rnacentral:rRNA from 1 species